CGGCGCGGCACGGCACGGCCCGAGGGCUCGGAGAGCGCGGAGAGGACGGCACCGCGCUCCUGGAACCUAUUUUGACUUUUUGUCUCCGGAAAGCUAUUCAGCGGAGAGGCUGGCUGAUUAAUUGAUUUUAAUGAAGGUCUCCCUAGGCUCAAAUUCACAGACAGCUUUAUUUAAAAUUAAAAGGAAAAAAAAAAGUGAGCGUGCUUGUCAGGAAAGCUCUUCUUUUUUUUUUUUCUGCCCCACUCCAGUUCUAUUAUCAUCUUUAUCUAUAUUUAUACAGUCCUACAAUGUUACUAAUGAUUUGGAGCAAAAGUGUGACUAAAAAAAAACCCCUCAGAAUCUGCACAGAGCUCUGUUAAUUGUACAGACAUAAAUAAUUGCACUGAUCCCGCUGACGGUUAACAGCCUCAGACUGUUCUCAGCACUAUAAAAUUAAGCGUGUGCAUAAGAAUAGAACCCACAUCUGUUUUGUUAACUGUAUUGCAGGUGGGGAUGUUCCUGACGUUGCUGCAGGAGCUGGAGAGCAGCUGAGCCUGAAAAUGCAGUAGGAUGAUCAGUGGAUGGAAAAUGAGCAUUUGCCCACUUCCACACAACAACAACAAAGUGUGCAUUACAUCUCUAGAAGUAGAUAGUGAACAGGAGUAAGAGGACCAAUGUCUCUGGAAUGCUAAAAGGGAACGUUAAAAUGGUGCUGCACAAAAAAUCCAAACUGAAGAAACUCUUGGGUCAGUAAUAAAAUAUUAAUAAAAAAUUAAAAGGAAUGGGGAGAAAAUGUGUGAAGAGUUAUGUGAGAGAAACAUGGAAGAGGAGAGGUGAUCAAGAAUAGGGAUCUAGUAUCUCCUCAAAGAGUAUUUGUUGUCUGCUCUAUUAGGUAAGGGAUACAACUCCAUAUCAAAGAAGAUGUGAGUUCUCAUUGCCAAGAAGGCCAAAGGAUUCCCCCUUUUCCUUCACUGGAGUGCAUAGUUGGGAAGGAUUUAGAAUUCCUCCAUUAUGUUUCAUGUGUUUUAUGUCAUAAUUAUUAGGUUAAAAAAAAAAUAAAACUUGGACAUUUCCAUAAAGUAUACCCUUUUCUUCAUUUGCAUAACAAUGUAUAAGGGUUUGAAGUUGUGAGAUGCUUAAUUACUUUGAAAUCCCACUCAUUGAAUGUGUGUUCUGACUUGUGUAUACCCACUAUCUGCAGUGUAAUUUUAAGUAUACAGUGCUUUGCAUAAUUUCAUCUGUAAACAGCUGCAGAAGCUCCUGCUUUACAUAAACAACAACUGCUCAUCAUAGUCUCAGAAAGUCAUGGGUCUGUUUUAUAAACAAACAAACAAAAAACGCCUAUGCAUAAUGCAGUAUUUGGAAACAAACUUGGACAUUACUCACUCUUCAGAGCCUCUCCUGGUUUUGUUACCUCACACAGAAGAAGCUGACAUGCCUCUCCAUUAGAUGUCAAGAGCUCUUAAUGAAAGAAUUGAAAUAAAAGAUUUAAAUUUGCCUUAUUUCAACCUAAACAAUUUACUGACUGUCUAAUAAUGACUUUUUCAAACUACCGUAUGUGAAAGAAGCAGCAAUAUUUAGUAGAUAUAGAGGUAUUCAGUCUUCUAGAAGGAAAAAUGGCAUAUCUCAAUAGCCCUACUCAUUUUUAUUAUCUUUCUUACAAAAGUCUUAAUGGAAAUAUAUCUUUGUAAUAAUGUCUGUGUAUCAUCUGUAGAUAAAAGUCCCAAUGUUUUUUCGUUAUUUU
ensembl:lncRNA